rnacentral:SRP_RNA from 1 species
GCGUCGCCAGGGUGCCACUGUCGAAGGACAGGAGUUCCAGGGCGGCUAAGGAGGGGUUCACGGCUCAGGUCCAAAAGGGAGCAGACAAUAACCCCGCGUCAUGCAGUGGACGCAUCGUGCUCGCAAGGUUCGCGUCGUCACGGCCUCUGCGAUACCUCUGGACCUCCAAUCGU